rnacentral:rRNA from 2 species
GGUUAAGCGACUAAGCGUACACGGUGGAUGCCCUGGCAGUCAGAGGCGAUGAAGGACGUGCUAAUCUGCGAUAAGCGUCGGUAAGGUGAUAUGAACCGUUAUAACCGGCGAUUUCCGAAUGGGGAAACCCAGUGUGUUUCGACACACUAUCAUUAACUGAAUCCAUAGGUUAAUGAGGCGAACCGGGGGAACUGAAACAUCUAAGUACCCCGAGGAAAA